AAUAGGAUUACACUCGUCCAACAUUAAAUAGACUCUUGUAUUCGCGAUAAAGUUAUUUUUACGAUCGUCGUGAAGACAUUCGUCGAGUUAUCCUCCAUGAAAAAGCAUCAGCAACAAUUUCAGUUGCAACCGACUAGGUGGAGAGAACCAAGAGGAAGGAGUGUGAGAAUAGAUGAAAGAAAUGCAUUCGAGGCAUGUAAUCCGUUUAUAUUCCCUGUGAUUGACCGUUCUCCCAUCAGUCCCUGUUACACGAGAACGUAACUCUUCGUUGAAAUGUUUCCCGCCCCCAUUGUUAAUUUAUCGUAACAAUAAUUUUACGUCUUUAUCUUUUAUAAAUGGUUACAUUUCUCAUCUUUACGAGGUUACGUUUUAAUUACGAUUCCGAGUUUCUACAAAGCCCAUAAAGUUUAAAUGGAAGCACGCAUCGUACGGUGAAAAAAGAAAAGAAAAGAAAAGAAAAAGAAAGUACAAUAUAUCUUUAGUAACAUUUAUUGAAACUCUCCACGGAAAUCAUGACACGUAUGAUGACGAAUAGGUUUUAUUUUCUCGGCCGAUCGAAAGAGGCGGGGAUGGAAUCUGGAACUUCACCCUCCGCCCGUCAAAAGAUAAAAUACAAGGUAUACAGGAAGUAGUAAGUAAAUAAAACGAACAAGUAGUACCUGCUACAUGAUAUACGACCGAUCUUUCACGUUCCCGUGCCGGUUGAUAACUCGAUUUGUCAAUAUCAGACGGGGACACUAUCGAAUUUAUUUUUUUUUUAUACAAAUCCCGAUUCACCGUCGCAAAGUAAAUUCUUUCGCCUCGUGUGACGAGAACUCCACGGCACGAUUUCAUAUUCCAACGAAGGAAAGUAUUUUGCAUAAUUUAUUUCGCUGCAACUUCUUUUCCACCUUGCGUCGCCCUUUUCCGCCCAUCCCCACCCAACGCGGUCAUCCCCCUCCUCCUCCACGUUGCUUGUUACAAACCACGCCCCCUUCUUUUCGAAUCCCUCUUUUCGAAUCCUUUUUGUUUCCGUCAACGUUGUGAAACUAUUGAGAUCGAUCGUUCUUCCAUUUCAUUCAUUCUCCAAUUCCUUCUUGGAAUUCUCUACAAGGUCGUCCCGAAUAAAAGUUCCCGCCAAUGAUGGACAGUUUGUUUUUUUGAUUAAAAAAAAAAAAAAAAAAAAAAAGGAAAAAAGAAAGAAAAGGAAAUAUAUGAUUUGGAAUUUUAAAGAUUAACGAUCUGCAGAUUUAUGAAGUUAGCAUCCCAGAGACGAGGGAGUAAUUACGUAAAAUUACAUAAUACCAUUAAUGACGUUUAUGCCACGAGAAAUUAGGUUCAUCACGGACAAAUUUAGCACAGUUAUGGAUCCUGUAUUGUCCCCUUAAAUGGGCUGCUAUUAAUUAAGAUUAAUGAAAUACGAUCAAUUGUAAUAGCUGUUAAUCAAUCGAUAAUAUUUUUAUUAAAGUCGUGAUAUAUUUGACGCCUACGUUUAUUUAAACUAUAUAUUAUAGUUUAAAUAUUGGAUAUCAAAAUUCAUGAAAAAUAUUUUUUUCCCCUUUAAGUUUAAACAUCAUUCUUACAAAAAUGAACAUAUAUCCAUUAAUAAUAAUACAGAUUUUUAUCCCAGACAUCUUUUUUUAAAUCUCACCCGGGCAAAAAAUAUCCAUAUUCAAAGGCUUAACUCAACAAUUUCCGUUCACAAGCACGAACAAUAUAAGUAAAAGCAUAAUCGGCCGAUCAAACACGCGAAGACAAACGAGUCAUUUGUAAUGACUUGCGACAUUUGGCACGAAAUAUGAGAGAUUAAAAUAUGAUACAAUAGUUUGUAUGAAUAUGUAAUUGAAAAAAAAGAAAAGAAAGAAAAUUAACAUCGACUAAGUAAGCGUUAUCGCUUACUUUUAUUCGCAAAUAAAUUUUCAAACGUUUGCAUUCAAAGUCGUCGGUAUGCGAGGAAUUCCCGGAAUAAAUAGAAGCAUUCAAGAAUCUCAUCAGAAGAAAGUUUCGACGAAGUAAUUGUGGCUAGUAAUUUUUAUUAUUACCUUUAAUUAUUGCAGAAACAAACAAAACUUUAUGGACCACGAAUGAAACUUUAUUCAACGAAACUUUAUUUGCUUGUUCAUUUAUUCAUCGCUAGCUAGAAAGUAAUUCGAUAACUUGGCUUCGAACUUGGUAUCGAUGACAAGGUUAGAAAAAAAAAGAACACUCGAGCGGGGAAUUUUUUUUCCCCUAGACGCACGGCACGCGUCGCGGGGCGACCAAGCGACAACGUAAUUUAUCCAUUCGGAUAUCCCUCUCGAACGGGCGUUUGUAAGAAAAACAGCAAACUUUUCCGCCGGUGGCACGUGUACGCGCUUGUUGUAAACUUCGCACCGCAUAAAAGCAUGUAAAUUGCAGCUCGCGUGUACGUGCUUGGCGUAAAGCUUCCAGAGAGCACUUCGUUUUCGCAUUUAACCAACCUCAUUCUUGUUUGAUCAGCCCUGCCAUAGCUUCGAAUCGCUUUGAACGCAUUUUAGUCAAACUUUUACGAACUAUUUCUGCAAUAUCCUUCUCGAACUUCAAUACAGUGUUUUAUAAUAAUAUUAAUAUUUAUAUUAACGAGAUAUAUUUGGAGGAUCGAUUCUAGGGGCUAAAAACAGGUAUACAAAAAUAUAGGUAAUCGAAGCUUAUUUAUUAAAUUAUGAGCAAUUUAAGUUUUCGUUAGAUGAAAGAGAAUUGGAUAGUAGAGAGGAUGAUGUGACAGAGAUGGAACUGUUUCACUCUGUCUUUGUCUCGUUUCAUUUAACGCAAACUUAAAAUUAUUUAUAACCUCAAUCAACAUUUUUUGCGUUUACCAACUUUGUAUUACAGAUUCCAUUGAGAUAUUUAUUAUAAAAAUUCGUAUAAAUAAUUAUUUAUCAAUUCGUGCAUAAUCACUUUAAACUAUUUUUCUAAUUUCGUUAAGUAAGUAUCUUACCUAAACGGCAGAUCCUUACUAUCAGUUCCCCCGUAAAAUAGAAAA